GACGAACGCUGGCGGCGUGCCUAAUACAUGCAAGUCGAACGAGAGCGACCGGUGCUUGCACUGGUCAAUCUAGUGGCGAACGGGUGAGUAACACGUGGGUAACCUGCCCAUCAGAGGGGGAUAACAUUCGGAAACGGAUGCUAAAACCGCAUAGGUUCUACAGUCGCAUGACUGAAGAAGGAAAAGAGGCUUCGGCUUCUGCUGAUGGAUGGACCCGCGGUGCAUUAGCUAGUUGGUGAGGUAACGGCUCACCAAGGCCGUGAUGCAUAGCCGACCUGAGAGGGUGAUCGGCCACAUUGGGACUGAGACACGGCCCAAACUCCUACGGGAGGCAGCAGUAGGGAAUCUUCCGCAAUGGACGCAAGUCUGACGGAGCAACGCCGCGUGAGUGAAGAAGGAUUUCGGUUCGUAAAACUCUGUUGUUAGAGAAGAACAGCGCAUAGAGUAACUGUUAUGCGUGUGACGGAUCUAACCAGAAAGCCACG
rnacentral:rRNA from 1 species